GGUGAGUAACACGUGGGUGAUCUGCCUUGCACUUCGGGAUAAGCCUGGGAAACUGGGUCUAAUACCGGAUAUGACCUCCUAUGGUGGGUGGUGGAAAGAUUUAUCGGUGCGAGAUGGGCCCGCGGCCUAUCAGCUUGUUGGUGAGGUAACGGCUCACCAAGGCGACGACGGGUAGCCGACCUGAGAGGGUGACCGGCCACACUGGGACUGAGACACGGCCCAGACUCCUACGGGAGGCAGCAGUGGGGAAUAUUGCACAAUGGGCGCAAGCCUGAUGCAGCGACGCCGCGUGCGGGAUGACGGCCUUCGGGUUGUAAACCGCUUUUGACAGGGACGAAGCGCAAGUGACUGUACCUGUAGAAUAAGGACCGGCCAACUACGUGCCAGCAGCCGCGGUAAUACGUAGGGUCCGAGCGUUGUCCGGAAUUACUGGGCGUAAAGAGCUUGUAGGCGGUUCGUCGCGUCGUUUGUGAAAACUUGGGGCUCAACCUUAAGCUUGCAGGCGAUACGGGCGGACUAGAGUACUUCAGGGGAGACUGGAAUUCCUGGUGUAGCGGUGAAAUGCGCAGAUAUCAGGAGGAACACCGGUGGCGAAGGCGGGUCUCUGGGAAGUAACUGACGCUGAGAAGCGAAAGCAUGGGUAGCAAACAGGAUUAGAUACCCUGGUAGUCCAUGCCGUAAACGGUGGGUACUAGGUGUGGGGCUCCUUCCACGGACUCCGUGCCGUAGCUAACGCAUUAAGUACCCCGCCUGGGGAGUACGGCCGCAAGGCUAAAACUCAAAGAAAUUGACGGGGGCCCGCACAAGCGGCGGAGCAUGUGGAUUAAUUCGAUGCAACGCGAAACCUUACCUGGGUUUGACAUACACCGGAAACCUGCAAGAUGUCCCCUUGUGGUCGGUGUACGGGUGCAUGGCUGUCGUCAGCUCGGUCGUGAGAUGUUGGGUUAAGUCCCGCAACGAGCGCAACCUUAUCGUUGCCGCGCGUAAUGGGGGGUCGUGAGAUGGGGCACUC
rnacentral:rRNA from 1 species